UACGUAGGGUGCGAGCGUUGUCCGGAAUUAUUGGGCGUAAAGGGCUCGUAGGCGGUUUGUCGCGUCGGGAGUGAAAACUCAGGGCUUAACCCUGAGCCUGCUUCCGAUACGGGCAGACUAGAGGUAUGCAGGGGAGAACGGAAUUCCUGGUGUAGCGGUGAAAUGCGCAGAUAUCAGGAGGAACACCGGUGGCGAAGGCGGGUCUCUGGGCCAUAACUGACGCUGAGGAGCGAAAGCGUGGGGAGCGAACAGG
rnacentral:rRNA from 1 species